rnacentral:rRNA from 1 species
GGAAAACGACUCUCGGCAACGGAUAUCUCGGCUCUUGCAUCGAUGAAGAACGUAGCGAAAUGCGAUACUUGGUGUGAAUUGCAGAAUCCCGUGAACCAUCGAGUCUUUGAACGCAAGUUGCGCCCGAAGCCAUUCAUUUGGCCGAGGGCACGCCUGCUUGGGUGUCGUG